UAAGCUACAAUGGUUCUCCCACACCUGGAAGCUAAUGAGUAAUAACACUAUUAAUGCUUAUUUCAAAUGUAAAAAACCUUGAGAUAAUGUACUAAAUUGUUCAGAAGGUUGUUUUCUUAGUUGAAUGCUACAGGAUUUUCUUUAGCCAUCCGGAGUUCCUGCCUUCGUCCCAGUGCCGGUAAAGACUAAGGUGGAAGAAUUUCCAGUGUUGCUGAAAACCGGACAAGACAUCGGCUGAGAAAUGGACGAGACUUCGAAUCAAGCUAGCUGCCUGCAGAACUUACCUGGACUGUGAUUUAAGCUAGCUGCCUGCAGAACUUACCUGAACUGUGAUUUACCUGGACUGUGAGUUAAUCUAUUGAGACACUGCUUUACCUGGACUGAGACAACAAACUGUAAUCUAUAACAAAUUGUAACUCGGUAUCUUUGCUAACAGUGUCAUUGCUGGUAUGAUUUUUCCAAGGGCUUCUUGCAUGGAGCCAUCAAUUGGCUUGGUAUUGUGGCAUUUUGUAUCCUCCCUUUCUGUUUGUAGCAGGUUAUUUAUGGUGUUUCUGUAAAAACCACUAUGGUCGUUAUUUAAAUUAAACAAAAGGGGGAAAUGUUAGAGUCUGUAAAC
rnacentral:lncRNA from 1 species